rnacentral:rRNA from 1 species
AUUGAACGCUGGCGGCAGGCUUAACACAUGCAAGUCGAGCGGGGUGAUGGUGCUUGCAUUAUCACUUAGCGGCGGACGGGUGAGUAAUGCUUAGGAAUCUGCCUAUUAGUGGGGGACAACAUCUGGAAAAGGAUGCUAAUACCGCAUACGUCCUACGGGAGAAAGCAGGGGAUCACUUGUGAUCUUGCGCUAAUAGAAGAGCAGAGGUCGGAUUGGCUAGGUGGUGGGGUAAAGGGCUACCAAGGGGAAGAUCUGUAGCGGGUCCGAGAGGAUGAUCCGCCACACUGGGAAUUGGACACGGCCCAGACUCCUACGGGAGGCAGCAGUGGGGAAUAUUGGACAAUGGGGGGAACCCUGAUCCAGCCAUGCCGCGUGUGUGAAGAAGGCCUUAUGGUUGUAAAGCACUUUAAGCGAGGAGGAGGCUCUUUUGGUUAAUACCCAAGAUGAGUGGACGUUACUCGCAGAAUAAGCACCGGCUAACUCUGUGCCAGCCGCCGCCGUAA